rnacentral:rRNA from 2 species
AAAAUGAUUCGUCGCCAUAGGAUGGGACUGCGGCCUAUCAGCUUGUUGGUGAGGUAAUGGCCCACCAAGGCGAUUACAGGUACGGGCUCUGAGAGGAGAAGCCCGGAGAUGGGUACUGAGACAAGGACCCAGGCCCUAUGGGGCGCAGCAGGCGAGAAAACUUUGCAAUGUGCGAAAGCACGACAAGGUUAGUCCGAGUGAUUUCUGCUAAAGGAAUCUUUUGUUAGUUCUAAAAAUACUAGUGAAUAAGGGGUGGGCAAGUUCUGGUGUCAGCCGCCGCGGUAAAACCAGCACCUCAAGUGGUCAGGAGGAUUAUUGGGCCUAAAGCAUCCGUAGCCUGUUCUAUAAGUUUGCGGUUAAAUCUAUACGCUUAACGUAUAGGCUGCUGUAAAUACUGUAGAACUAGGGAGUGGGAGAGGUAGACGGUACUCGGUAGGAAGGGGUAAAAUCCUUUGAUCUAUCGAUGACCACCUGUGGCGAAGGCGGUCUACCAGAACACGUUCGACGGUGAGGGAUGAAAGCUGGGGGAGCAAACCGGAUUAGAUACCCGGGUAGUCCCAGCUGUAAACGAUGCAGACUCGAUGAUGCAAUGGCAUAGAGCUAUUGCAGUAUCGCAGGGAAGCCGUUAAGUCUGCCGCCUGGGAAGUACGUACGCAAGUAUGAAACUUAAAGGAAUUGGCGGGGGAGCUCCACAAGGGGUGAAGCCUGCGGUUCAAUUGGA